CGCGCAGGCGGCCUGGUAAGUCAGAUGUGAAAGCCCACGGCUUAACCGUGGAAGUGCAUUUGAAACUGUCAGGCUUGAGUACCAGAGGGAAAGUGGAAUUCCCGGUGUAGAGGUGAAAUUCGUAGAUAUCGGGAGGAAUACCGGUGGCGAAGGCGACUUUCUGGCUGAGUACUGACGCUGAGGCGCGAAAGCGUGGGGAGCAAAACA
rnacentral:rRNA from 1 species